rnacentral:rRNA from 1 species
CAGUAGCCGCGGGAAUACGAAGGGGGCUAGCGUUGUUCGGAAUUACUGGGCGUAAAGCGCACGUAGGCGGAUACUUAAGUCAGGGGUGAAAUCCCGGGGCUCAACCCCGGAACUGCCUUUGAUACUGGGUAUCUCGAGUCCGGAAGAGGUGAGUGGAAUUCCGAGUGUAGAGGUGAAAUUCGUAGAUAUUCGGAGGAACACCAGUGGCGAAGGCGGCUCACUGGUCCGGUACUGACGCUGAGGUGCGAAAGCGUGGGGAGCAAACAGGAUUAGAUACCCCAGUAGUCCCUGUCUCUUAUAC